ACGGGCAUUGCUCAGUAGCGGCGAGUGAAGCGGCAGAGCUCAGAUUUGAAAUCGUGCUUUGCGGCACGAGUUGUAGAUUGCAGGUUGGAGUCUGUGUGGAAGGCGGUGUCCAAGUCCCUUGGAACAGGGCGCCCAGGAGGGUGAGAGCCCCGUGGGAUGCCGGCGGAAGCAGUGAGGCCCUUCUGACGAGUCGAGUUGUUUGGGAAUGCAGCUCCAAGCGGGUGGUAAAUUCCAUCUAAGGCUAAAUACUGGCGAGAGACCGAUAGCGAACAAGUACUGUGAAGGAAAGAUGAAAAGCACUUUGAAAAGAGAGUGAAACAGCACGUGAAAUUGUUGAAAGGGAAGGGUAUUGCGCCCGACAUGGGGAUUGCGCACCGCUGCCUCUCGUGGGCGGCGCUCUGGGCUUUCCCUGGGCCAGCAUCGGUUCUUGCUGCAGGAGAAGGGGUUCUGGAACGUGGCUCUUCGGAGUGUUAUAGCCAGGGCCAGAUGCUGCGUGCGGGGACCGAGGACUGCGGCCGUGUAGGUCACGGAUGCUGGCAGAACGGCGCAACACCGCCCGUCUUGAAAMAAMGGRACCAAA
rnacentral:rRNA from 1 species